GGCGAAGUCCUUUGUCGAUCUCCACAGGUUUCUCACUGAGCAGCUUGCUCAAUGAAAUCUCGCUGCUUUGGGCUUCUUAAACACAGGACUCCACCUCUUCAGUUCAGUAGCCAGAACAUUCUGCUGUGUGGAACUGAGGCUCUGACAGAUACAGUUCUCAACUGCUUCCUUUGGCCAUUGGCUGCAAAUCAAGCUAAUUUCUACUCUGGCCGAAAGUAAGAGCUCUGAGGAGUAGCUGGGUCAGAAUGAGCGAGCAGAUCCCAAACCUGCAGCUCUCAGCUACUGCUCCAGCACCAUGCCUGCCUGCAUACUGCCA